AAGACUAUAGACCUGCGGAGUACCUGCGGAAGGAUCAUUACUGUUGGGGCGUCAGCCCCGACUGAGAUUAUACCUAACCAUGAUUUCGAGCACCUUUCCGUUUCCUCGGCGGGUUCGCUCGCCGGUGGACAACUGAAACUCUUUGUAAUGGCAGUAAAUUCUGAGAAAACAAAUAGUUAAAACUUUCAACAACGGAUCUCU
rnacentral:misc_RNA from 1 species